rnacentral:rRNA from 1 species
AUUCCAGCUUCAAUAACGUAUAUAUUAAAAUCGUUGCGGUUAAAAAGCUCGUAGUUGGAUUUCUGCCAAGGACAAUCGGUCCGCCCUCUGGGUGAGCAUCUGGCUCGGCCGAGGCAUCCUCUUGGAGAACGUAGCUGCACUUGACUGUUUGGGGCGGUAUCCAAAACUUUGACUUUGAGGAAAUCACAUUGUUUCAAGCAGGCAUACGCCUUGAAUACAUUAGCAUGGAAUAAUAGGAUAGGACCUCGGUUCUAUUUUGUUGGUUUCCACAGCUGAGGUAAUGAUUAAUAAGGAUAAUUGGGGGCAUUCGCAAUUAACUUUCAGAUGUGAAAUUCUUGGAUUUGUUAAAGACGGGUUACUGCGAAAGCAUUUGCCAAGGAUGUUUUCAUCA